CAAUUUAACAACGAAGAGUUUGAUCCUGGCUCAGGAUGAACGCUAGCGACAGGCUUAACACAUGCAAGUCGAGGGGCAGCACGAGGUAGCAAUACUUUGGUGGCGACCGGCGCACGGGUGAGUAACGCGUAUGCAACCUACCUAUCAGAGGAGGAUAGCCCGGCGAAAGUCGGAUUAAUACUCCAUAAAACAGGGGUUCCACAUGGAAAUAUUUGUUAAAGAAGCAAUUUGCUGAUAGAUGGGCAUGCGUUCCAUUAGGCAGUUGGCGGGGUAACGGCCCACCAAACCGACGAUGGAUAGGGGUUCUGAGAGGAAGGUCCCCCACAUUGGUACUGAGACACGGACCAAACUCCUACGGGAGGCAGCAGUGAGGAAUAUUGGUCAAUGGCCGCGAGGCUGAACCAGCCAAGUCGCGUGAAGGAUGAAGGAUCUAUGGUUUGUAAACUUCUUUUAUAGGGGAAUAAAGUGCACCACGUGUGGUGUUUUGUAUGUACCCUAUGAAUAAGCAUCGGCUAACUCCGUGCCAGCAGCCGCGGUAAUACGGAGGAUGCGAGCGUUAUCCGGAUUUAUUGGGUUUAAAGGGUGCGUAGGUGGUAAAUUAAGUCAGCGGUGAAAGUUUGUGGCUCAACCAUAAAAUUGCCGUUGAAACUGUUUUACUUGAGUGUGUUUGAGGUAGGCGGAAUGCGUGGUGUAGCGGUGAAAUGCAUAGAUAUCACGCAGAACUCCAAUUGCGAAGGCAGCUUACUAAACCAUAACUGACACUGAAGCACGAAAGCGUGGGGAUCAAACAGGAUUAGAUACCCUGGUAGUCCACGCAGUAAACGAUGAUUACUAGGAGUUUGCGAUAGACAGUAAGCUCUACAGCGAAAGCGUUAAGUAAUCCACCUGGGGAGUACGCCGGCAACGGUGAAACUCAAAGGAAUUGACGGGGGCCCGCACAAGCGGAGGAACAUGUGGUUUAAUUCGAUGAUACGCGAGGAACCUUACCCGGGUUUGAACGUAGGGAGACGAUAGUGGAAACAUUAUUUUCAGCAAUGACUGCCUACGAGGUGCUGCAUGGUUGUCGUCAGCUCGUGCCGUGAGGUGUCGGCUUAAGUGCCAUAACGAGCGCAACCCUUAUCACUAGUUACUAACAGGU
rnacentral:rRNA from 2 species